rnacentral:lncRNA from 1 species
GUCUCAUGACAGCAUUUUCAUCCCUGAAAUUGGACAAGAGUCUGCAAGGCCAGUAAGAGUAUUUUCUCAAGAAAAUGUUUCUGAUCGAAUUAGAGCUCUACAGAUGAAACUCCAGCCUACCAUGAAAUUGGGACCUCCGCCUCCAUUUGGGUAUCAUGCAAAGAGGACAGAUGAUGCUGGGACCAGUUCUGAGGACGAUGGAUUACCAAGAAGCCCUCCAGAAAUGUCUUUGUUCCAGGAAAUCCUAAGUUCAGGCACGACAGUGAGAGUUACACUGGGUCCUCAUUCCAGAUCUCGCUCUACAGAUGGGCAGCUGUACCCUAGGCAUGGAAGUGCUAAAACGAAAGCUCCCCACGACUCUGACAGCAGCAUUUCACCUGCUGCCAAUUUUGAAACUCCACCUGAGCUUUCCUCGUGCUUGGAUAACUCUGCUGCUAAACAUAAGCUUUUAAUAAAGCCCCGGAACCAGAGGUCCAGUAAAAUGAGAAGAUUUUCUCAGGUAAUUGUGCAAAUAAGCCGUGUCGCCA